GACGAACGCUGGCGGCGUGCCUAAUACAUGCAAGUAGAACGAGUUGCGAACGGGGGAGUAACGCGUAGGUAACUGCCUCAUAGCGGGGGAUAACUAUUGGAAAAGAUAGCUAAUACCGCAACCUUGGAGAUGGACCUGCGUUGUAUUAGCUAGGUGGUGAGGUAAAGGCUCACCAAGGCGACGAGACAUAGCGUACCUGAGAGGGUGAUCGGACAACAUUGGACCGAGACAAGGCACAGAAUCCUCAGGGAGGCAGCAGGAGGGAAUCUUUGGCAAUGGACGGAAGUCUGACCGAGCAACGCCGCGUGAGUGAAGAAGGUUUUCGGGUCGUAAAGCUCUGUUGUUAGAGAAGCGGUAACUACCCAGAAAGGGACGGCUAACUACGUGCCAGCAGCCGCGGUAAUAC
rnacentral:rRNA from 1 species